rnacentral:lncRNA from 1 species
CCUAGCGGAUCAAAGGUCAGAAGCCUCGAGGGGACAGGUGGGAAGCGAUGGGAGCAGCCUAGGCCACCUCCUCCUCCGCCUCCUCCUCGAACUCGCCCUCCUCGGCCGUGGCGUCCUGGUACUGCUGGUACUCAGAUACCAGGUCAUUCAUGUUGCUCUCGGCCUCGGUGAACUCCAUCUCGUCCAUGCCCUCGCCCGUGUACCAGUGCAAGAAGGCCUUGCGCCGGAACAUGGCCGUGAACUGCUCGGAGAUGCGCUUGAACAGCUCCUGGAUGGCCGUGCUGUUGCCGAUGAAGGUCGCGGCCAUCUUCAGGCCGCGGGGCGGGAUGUCGCACACGGCCGUCUUCACGUUGUUGGGGAUCCACUCCACGAAGUAGCUGCUGU